UACAGAGGUCCCGAGCGUUGUUCGGAUUCACUGGGCGUAAAGGGUGCGUAGGUGGUGAGGAAAGUCGGAUGUGAAAUCUCCAAGCUUAACUUGGAAACGGCAUUGGAAACUACCUUGCUUGAGGUUUGGAGGGGGGACUGGAAUACUUGGUGUAGCAGUGAAAUGCGUAGAUAUCUGGAGGAACACCGGUGGCGAAGGCGGCAUCCUGGACCGACACUGACGCUGAGGAGCGAAAGCCAGGGGAGCAAACGGG
rnacentral:rRNA from 1 species